rnacentral:rRNA from 1 species
UACGGAGCGGGCUAGCGUUCGUCGGAAUUACUGGGCGUAAAGCGCGCGUCGGCGGACGUGCAAGUCGGGGGUGAAAGCCCGAGGCUCAACCUCGGAACUGCCUUCGAUACUGCGGGUCUCGAGUCCGAGAGAGGUGAGUGGAAUUCCGAGUGUAGAGGUGAAAUUGGUGGAUAUUAGGAAGUAGACCAGUGGCGAAGGCGGUUCAAUGGCUCGGUACUGCCGCUGAGUGGCGAAAGCGUGGGGAGCAAACAGG